rnacentral:rRNA from 1 species
GACGAACGCUGGCGGCGUGCUUAACACAUGCAAGUCGAACGAAGUGGCGAACGGGUGAGUAACGCGUAAUCAACCUGCCCUUCAGAGGGGGACAACAGUUGGAAACGACUGCUAAUACCGCAUACUGAAGGAGGGGAUUGCGUCUGAUUAGCUAGUUGGAGGGGCAACGGCCCACCAAGGCGAAGAUCAGGAGCCGGGCUGAGAGGAUGAACGGCCAAAUUGGGACUGGGUCACGGGCCAGACUCCUACGGGAGGCAGCAGUAGGGGAACUUCCGAAAUGGACGGAAGUCUGACGGAGCAACGCCGCGGGGGGGAUGACGGCCUUCGGGUUGUAAAACUCUGUUAAUCGGGGCGCGUUACCGGAAUAGAAAGCAACGGCUAACUACGUGCCAGCCGCCGCGGUAAUUC